rnacentral:ncRNA from 1 species
UUCAAAACGAAGAAGAGGAAAAGUACUCAAUGUUGCAACUUCAACAGAGAGCCGUGGUGCUGAGAUGCGGUGUUGUUGCUAUUGACGAAGCUCGCCUCAGAGUACCAAUCUGAACGACUUAUUCUAUUAAGAUUGGUCGGGUGUACACAGCACUCGUUAUUAAAACAAUUAAGAUUAAAUAGAUGAGAAUCUGUUUAAUGAAUAAGGGUGGUACCGUGGAAAGAAAAUCUUUUCGCCCCUUCU